UACGUAGGGUGCAAGCGUUAAUCGGAAUUACUGGGCGUAAAGCGUGCGCAGGCGGUUCUAUAAGACAGAUGUGAAAUCCCCGGGCUCAACCUGGGAACUGCAUUUGUGACUGUAGAGCUGGAGUACGGCAGAGGGGGAUGGAAUUCCGCGUGUAGCAGUGAAAUGCGUAGAUAUGCGGAGGAACACCGAUGGCGAAGGCAAUCCCCUGGGCCUGUACUGACGCUCAUGCACGAAGGCGUGGGGAGCAAACAGG
rnacentral:rRNA from 1 species